rnacentral:rRNA from 1 species
GCAAGUUGUUAAGGGCACAUGGUGGAUGCCUUGGCACAGAGAGGCGAAGAAGGACGCAGCAACCGGCGAAACGCCGCGGGGAGCAGGAAGCAUGCUUUGAUCCGCGGAUGUCCGAAUGGGGAAACCCGAUGGGAGUCAUGUUCCAUCACCCGCAAGGGAGCCAACCCAGGGAAGUGAAACAUCUCAGUACCUGGAGGAAAAGAAAUCAACGGAGAUUCCGGUAGUAGUGGCGAGCGAACCCGGAAAAGCCCAAACCGGCCCCACGCAAGUGUGGCCGGGGUUGUAGGACCCCACAACGGGAUCCAGAGUCGAUAGCCGAACGGUCUGGGAAGGCCGACCAAAGACGGUGAGAGUCCGGUAGGCGAAAUCGACGAUGGCCCAGGGGUAUCCUGAGUAGCGCGGGACACGAGAAAUCCUGUGUGAAUCUGGGGGGACCACCCUCCAAGGCUAAAUACUCCUCUGUGACCGAUAGUGAACCAGUACCGUGAGGGAAAGGUGAAAAGAACCCUUCAGAAGGGAGUGAAAAGAACCUGAAACCAUGUGCUUACAAACGGUCGGAGCGGGCUAUAUGCCCGUGACGGCGUGCCUUUUGCUUAAUGAGCCUACGAGUUGCUCGUCACAUGCAAGGGUAAGGGUAUGGAUACCCGCACCCGUAGCGAAAGCGAGUCUGAAUAGGGCGGCUAGUAUGUGGCGGCAGACGCGAAACCGAGUGAUCUAUCCAUGGGCAGGAUGAAGCGUAGGUAACACUACGUGGAGGUCCGAACGGGUGUGGGUUGAAAACUACUCCGAUGACCUGUGGAUAGGGGUGAAAGGCCAAUCAAACUCGGUGAUAGCUCGUACUCCCCGAAAUGUUUUUAGGAACAGCCUCGUGUUAUUGUCUCGGAGGUAGGGCUCUGAUUGGGCUAGGGCUGUCACAACGGUACCGACCCCAGAUAAACCGCAAAUGCCGAAGACAAGAUGCACGGGAGUGAGGCUGCGAGGGAUAAGCUUCGUAGCCGAGAGGGAAACAACCCAGACCACCAGCUAAGGUCCCCAAGUGGGUACUAACAGGCAAAGGAUGUGCAGUUGCAUAGACAGCCAGGAUGUUGGCUUAGAAGCAGCCAUUCAUUCAAAGAGUGCGUAAUAGCUCACUGGUCGAGCGACUGUGCGCCGACAAUAAUCGGGACUAAGUAUCCCACCGAAGCUGUGGGCUCCAAGUAAUUGGAGCGGUAGGGGAGCAUUCCAUGGACGGCGAAGGUGUACCGCGAGGUAUGCUGGAGUGCAUGGAAGAGCAUAUGUAGGCAUGAGUAGCGACAACGGGGGUGAGAAUCCCCCGCGCCGAAAGUCCAAGGUUUCCGGAGCUCCGUUCGUCGACUCCGGGUUAGGCGACCCCUAAGGCGAGGCCGAGAGGCGUAGCUGAUGGGAAGCAGGCAAAUUCAAUAUUCCUGCCCCACUGCGACAAUAAAAGUGACGCAGACGUCAGUCAGUUGAGGUUAAUGGCUAUCCGAAAACUGAUCAAGUCUGCCGAGAAAAGCGAGUCGUGGUGAUCGUACCGCAAACCGACACAGGUGGACGGGUUGAGAAUACUCAGGCGCGCGAGUGAGCCGUGCUUAAGGAACUCGGCAAAUUGACCCCGUAACUUCGGGAGAAGGGGUGCUGCAGCAAUGCAGCCGCAGAGAAAUGGCCCAGGCGACUGUUUACCACAAACACAUCACUCUGCUAACACGUCAAGUGGACGUAUAGGGUGUGACACCUGCCCGGUGCCGGAAGGUUAAGAGGAGAGGUCAGCUUCGGCGAAGCUUUGAAUCGAAGCCCCGGUAAACGGCGGCCGUAACUAUAACGGUCCUAAGGUAGCGAAAUUCCUUGUCGGGUAAGUUCCGACCUGCACGAAUGGUGUAACGAUCUGGGCACUGUCUCAAGCACGGGCUCGGCGAAAUUGUGGUACCGGUGAAGACGCCGGUUACCCGCAUAUGGACGGAAAGACCCCGUGCACCUUUACUGCAGCUUAGUAUUGGGUUUGGUCACAUCAUGCGUAGGAUAGGUGGGAGACUAUGAAGCAGGCCUUGCGGGGCUUGUGGAGUCAUCGGUGAAAUACCACCCUUGAUGUGUUCGAAUUCUAACCCGGCGGAGUGGAUCCGCGGGAACAGUGCUAGGUGGGCAGUUUGACUGGG